rnacentral:rRNA from 1 species
GAUGAACGCUGGCGGCGUGCCUAAUACAUGCAAGUCGAGCGAAUGGAUUAAGAGCUUGCUCUUAUGAAGUUAGCGGCGGACGGGGGAGUAACACGUGGGUAACCUGCCCAUAAGACUGGGAUAACUCCGGGAAACCGGGGCUAAUACCGGAUAACAUUUUGAACCGCAUGGUUCGAAAUUGAAAGGCGGCUUCGGCUGUCACCUAUGGAUGGACCCGCGUCGCAUUAGCUAGUUGGUGAGGUAACGGCUCACCAAGGCAACGAUGCGUAGCCGACCUGAGAGGGUGAUCGGCCACACUGGGACUGAGACACGGCCCAGACUCCUACGGGAGGCAGCAGUAGGGAAUCUUCCGCAAUGGACGAAAGUCUGACAGAGCAACGCCGCGUGAGUGAUGAAGGCUUUCGGGUCGUAAAACUCUGUUGUUAGGGAAGAACAAGUGCUAGUUGAAUAAGCUGGCACCUUGACGGUACCUAACCAGAAAGCCACGGCUAACUACGUGCCAGCCGCCGCAGUAA